AGUCUGGAGAUGUGUGGGGGAGGAUUUCAAUUUUGCUUUGUGUUCGGUUUUUGCAUUUUUUUUGCACGCUUUGACUGCGGAAUACGAGCAACAUUUUGAAACGAGAAAGAGUGAGCGAAAAGUG
ensembl:ncRNA T27A10.10 ncRNA